rnacentral:rRNA from 1 species
UACGAAGGGGGCUAGCGUUGUUCGGAAUCACUGGGCGUAAAGCGCACGUAGGCGGAUCUUUAAGUCAGAGGUGAAAUCCUGGAGCCCAACUCCAGAACUGCCUUUGAUACUGGGGAUCUCGAGUCCGGGAGAGGUGAGUGGAACUGCGAGUGUAGAGGUGAAAUUCGUAGAUAUUCGCAAGAACACCAGUGGCGAAGGCGGCUCACUGGCCCGGUACUGACGCUGAGGUGCGAAAGCGUGGGGAGCAAACAGG